CUCUCUCUCUCUCUCUUGGAUCUCAGAAGACUGAAAGAAGGCAAAGAACCCUUCUCUCAAUCUCUCUCUCAAAUUGGGGAAAUCGAUUGCUUCUAUGAACCAAUCCUUCUCUCAAUCUGUCAGUCAAAUAUGGGAAAUCAAUGGCUGCUGUGAGGGUUGAACGCAAAUAUUUUCACUGACGCUACUUCUCCUUGUACCCCUACAAGCUCGAAGAGGUCAACAUCAAGUGCGGCGAGAUCUCAAAAUUUACGGAUCUCAAACCCGGCAGCUGUUCCAGUCUCACGCUCCACCUUCUUCAUUUUAUACAUCGAGGUUGGUUUUGAAAUGAUAGAUAGUAUUUCCAAAACGCAGGGCAUUGUGAUGAAUACAAUUCAGUUAAAGGCACUGGUUGGAAUAGUAGAGGUUCCAUUGGAGAGGUACCAAUUUUGGUGGUGAAGCCUCAAGCUUACAUGAAUUAUAGUGGGGAAGCAGUGUGUUCUCAUCAUCUUUGUUUGCUAUCUUGAGUUAAUAUAGGUUCAUUUUGGUGUUAUAUUCUUUUGAUCGUGUUUUAUUACUUUAUACCUUAAACUCUGGGACAUCCCAAAGGAAAUGACUGGGUUUGCUUUUUGUGUAAUGUUUUAAUCUUGUUCCUUUGAAUACUUUCUCCUUUGCAGAGUUUCUUUUGAGUUUCAACAUAAUUUUUGUGGUAGAUCAA